UUUAAUGAAAAAUCAAUAUACUCUAGUACACACAAUCAUAACUCAAUUAAACCUACAAUCCUCAAACACGAGUACACGAUAGUCUCUCAGACCUGAAGAACUAAACGCCUAAACCCCAAAUCCAUCUCCUCCUCCCCCUCACCAGAGCUCCACCCCGCCACAUACGCCGACGCACACGCCGUUUCUGGAGCUAGCGCCGCCGCACCCGACCUCAAGGUCAAUCAUGUAGACAGUACUUGUGGUUUUGGUUGCUGUGGAUUACUCUUGCUUUGUAUCCAAGGUGAUGCCAAAAGGUUUCUCUUAGAAGAGGUGACCAAUGGUGAAACUGAUGUAAAGCCAAAUAAUCAACCUAAGAAGUCAAGCUCAAAAGGAAAUCCAAUAUUAGGUUCAGUGCCAACAGUUGAUGCCAAUAAUAAGAACAAGGAAAGCAACACUUCUGACGAAGAUAACAACAGUGAGGAUGAUAAGAAUGAGAGUUAUAAAAGUUAUGGUAAUCCUUCAGGAUCAUCAACUGAGAGACACCAUCUUUACAUAACCACAUGCCUGCCUACAAGACCAGAUUGUGAGAAGAAGGUGUGAAUUAAUAUGUAUACUGGUAUAAAAUAGAGAUAGUGAGGCAAAAUAUGUCACAAUAGGUUUGAAUCACAUCUUUGAUGUUUUCUUUUGUGCUGUUUAGCAUAUAAGCAAGGCAUGCCAUAUGUGAUUUUUUAAUCUCUAUCGAUAGUUUGUCAUGGUUUUAUAGCCUCCUGGCCCAGUACCUAUGUGUAAAUCACUGUAAUGAAAUAAAAUCAUCGCUAGUAUAGUUUUCAUGUUUUAGAA